rnacentral:rRNA from 1 species
GGGAGCGGCAGACGGGUGAGUAACGCGUGGGAACGUACCCUUUACUACGGAAUAACGCAGGGAAACUUGUGCUAAUACCGUAUGUGCCCUUCGGGGGAAAGAUUUAUCGGUAAGGGAUCGGCCCGCGUUGGAUUAGCUAGUUGGUGGGGUAAAGGCCUACCAAGGCGACGAUCCAUAGCUGGUCUGAGAGGAUGAUCAGCCACAUUGGGACUGAGACACGGCCCAAACUCCUACGGGAGGCAGCAGUGGGGAAUAUUGGACAAUGGGCGCAAGCUGAUCCAGCCAUGCCGCGUGAGUGAUGAAGGCCCUAGGGUUGUAAAGCUCUUUCACCGGAGAAGAUAAUGACGGUAUCCGGAGAAGAAGCCCCGGCUAACUUCGUGCCAGCAGCCGCGGUAAUACGAAGGGGGCUAGCGUUGUUCGGAAUUACUGGGCGUAAAGCGCACGUAGGCGGACAUUUAAGUCAGGGGUGAAAUCCCAGAGCUCAACUCUGGAACUGCCUUUGAUA